AUUGAACGCUGGCGGCAGGCUUAACACAUGCAAGUCGAGCGGGGGAAGGUAGCUUGCUACCGGACCUAGCGGCGGACGGGUGAGUAAUGCUUAGGAAUCUGCCUAUUAGUGGGGGACAACAUCCCGAAAGGGAUGCUAAUACCGCAUACGUCCUACGGGAGAAAGCAGGGGAGCUGCGGACCUUGCGCUAAUAGAUGCGCCUAAGUCAGAUUAGCGAGUUGGUGGGGUAAAGGCCUACCAAGGCGACGAUCUGUAGCGGGUCUGAGAGGAUGAUCCGCCACACUGGGACUGAGAGACGGCCCAGACUCCUACGGGAGGCAGCAGUGGGGAAUAUUGAUCAAUGGGGGGAACCCUGAUCCAGCCAUGCCGCGUGUGUGAAGAAGGCCUUAUGGUUGUAAAGCACUUUACGAGAGGAGGAGGCUACUUUAGUUAAUACCUAGAGAUAGUGGACGUUACUCGCAGAAUAAGCACCGGCUAACUCUGUGCCAGCCGCCGCCGUAACAC
rnacentral:rRNA from 1 species